rnacentral:rRNA from 2 species
AAAUGACUCUCGGCAACGGAUAUCUUGGCUCUCGCAUCGAUGAAGAACGUAGCGAAAUGCGAUACUUGGUGUGAAUUGCAGAAUCCCGUGAACCAUCGAGUCUUUGAACGCAAGUUGCGCCCAAAGCCAUUAGGUUGAGGGCACGCCUGCCUGGGCGU